rnacentral:rRNA from 1 species
UUAAAUUGAAGAGUUUGAUCAUGGCUCAGAUUGAACGCUGGCGGCAGGCCUAACACAUGCAAGUCGAGCGGUAGCACAGAGAGCUUGCUCUCGGGUGACGAGCGGCGGACGGGUGAGUAAUGUCUGGGAAACUGCCUGAUGGAGGGGGAUAACUACUGG